rnacentral:lncRNA from 1 species
UUCAAAAAAAUAAAAAUUUGUAAAAGAGUUGAAUUAAUGGUGAUAAACAACAAUAGUAUAAUAAAGAAGACGAUAAAGACUCUAGGAGACGUUGUUCUUAUCAAAGUUUGUAAGUGGUUAUUAU